rnacentral:rRNA from 1 species
ACCUGCGGAAGGAUCAUUACCGAAUUGUCAACACGAGUUGUUGCUGGUCCCCGAAUGGGGACAUGUGCACGCUCUGUUUGCACAUCCACUCACACCUGUGCACCCUCCAUAGUUCUGCAGCCUGGGGGCUCUGUCCCCCUGCCGUGGUUCUAUGUAUUUACACACACACACACUGUAGUGAAGUCUUAUGGAAUGCAUACCGCGUUUAACGCAAUACAAUACAACUUUCAGCAACGGAUCUCUUGGCUCUCGCAUCGAUGAAGAACGCAGCGAAAUGCGAUAAGUAAUGUGAAUUGCAGAAUUCAGUGAAUCAUCGAAUCUUUGAACGCACCUUGCGCCCUUUGGCUAUUCCGAAGGGCAUGCCUGUUUGAGUAUCAUGAACACCUCAACUCUCGUGGCUUGCCAUGACGAGCUUGGACUUUGGGGGUCUUGCUGGCCUGUGGUUGGCUCCUCUCAAAUGAAUUAGCUUGCCAGUGUUUGGUGGCGUCACAGGUGUGAUAACUAUCUACGCUUGUGACCUUCCACCGGGUAACCUUCAGUGAUGGAGGUUCGCUGGGGCUCAUAAAUGUCUCUCCUCAGCGAGGACAGCUCUUUGAACGUUUGAUCUCAAAUCAGGUAGGACUACCCGCUGAACUUAAGCAUAUCAAUAA